GAUGAAGAACGUAGUGAAAUGCGAUAAGUAAUGUGAAUUGCAGAAUUCCGUGAAUCAUCGAAUCUUUGAACGCACAUUGCGCCCUCUGGUAUUCCGGGGGGCAUGCCUGUCCGAGCGUCAUUUGCAACCCCCAAGCCCGGCUUGUGUGAUGGGUGCCGUCCCCUACGGGACGCGCCCCGAAGGCAAUGGCGGCGUCGCGGUUAUCCGAUCAGCCAAAGUGUAUGGGGCUUUGUCACUCACUUUACGGCCCGGACCGGCGCCAGUCCGAAUCAAUCUUUUUUCUAAAGUUGACCUCGGAUCAGGUAGGGAUACCCGCUGUACUUAAGCAUAUCAAUAAGCGGAGGA
rnacentral:misc_RNA from 1 species